AUAAACAUUUUAAUAUUCUAGCUUUCGACUAAGAUUCAGUCAUCAUCAUCCGGAUGAUGACUGAAUCUUAGUUGAAAGCUAGAAUAUUAAAAUGUUUA